GGCCCAAAUUGGAAGUACAGUGGUCUAGUAAGGUCAGAUGAUCCUUCUAAUCUACUCUACUUCAAUUUUGGGCCC
rfam:Haemonchus contortus, ISE/inbred ISE, WGS project CAVP01000000 data, contig: Hcontortus_33355